AUGCGCAGGGGGAAGCGGGGGGAGAGGACGGCGUCUCACCGAGGUCAGGAAAGCGGAGCGGGGUGCCGCCACCGCCACCGGGCCCAAACCGCUGCAACCGACCCUCCCAGCCCCUCGCCGCCUUCAGCCGGGCCGUUAACGGCCCGUUACCGCCCGCCCCCCUCCUCCGCCGCGACCCCGCACCUGGCAGGCGGCGGCGCGGGCCCGGCUCAGGCGGCGCGGGGCGGGGGGCGGCUCGGCAUGGCGCGGCCCCUCCGCCGCACCGGGCCGGGCCGGGGCCCCUCCGCUCCGAUGCGCUCCGGUACCGGGCCGGGCCGCGGAGCCGAACCCGCGGCCGGAAGCGCCUCGCGCCGCCGGGCGGUCCCGGGACCGCCCCCGUCCCGUCCCGUCCUUCCCCCCCCCCCCGCUCCCCCCGCACGUCACGGCGGCCGCAGUGGCGUCACCGGGAGCGGCGCCGCCGUGGCGUCACCGGGGGCGGGCGCGCGCCCACGUGGGAGGGGGAUCCCCGCCCCCGGCGGGGUCAGGGCGGGGGGAAUCCCCACGCGGGGACGCCCCCCCACCCCCGGCUCCGGGACCCCCGGUUUCCCCCGGGGCUCCCCCAGCCCGCACCGGCACCCCCCGGGAACGUUCCCCCGCCCCGUUCCCCCCCCCCGCGCUCUCUCGUCCGUUCCCCCCUCGCUCCCCGCAGCCCCGCUCGACCCCCCGAGAACGGCGGCGCAGCGGGACCGCGAGCCCUGCCGGGCACCGGGGCUCCCCGGUUCGGCCGCGGGGGCACCGGCCCCCCCCGGCUCCCCCCGGUCCCCGGGAUCCCCGGUGACGUCACGUGGCACCGGCCGGGCCGCGCUGCGCAGGGCCCGGGGGCGACACCGGCUCCGGGGGCGGCGGGGGGAGAAGGGGGUCCCGGUGCGGGGGGGCUGUCCCGGUGCGGCCGCAGUGGAAGGGAGGGGGGGUGUCCCUUCCCGGUGCGGGGCAGCGGAGCCCGGUGCGGGGGUUCCCCGCCUGUUGGAGGCUCCCGGGGGGUUGGGGAGGUCCCGGUACAGAGUCGGGCCUCCCGGUGCAGCUGGCCCGGUCUCAGGGGGUCCCGGUGCAGAUCCGGGGGUCCCUAUACAGCCAUCCCCAGCCCCGUAG
rnacentral:lncRNA from 1 species